UAAAUUAGUUUAUCCUCUUUCUCCAACAAGUUUCUGCGUGUAAAAAAAUAAGUUCUUCUUCUCUCUCAAGUCAAAAUCUCUCCUUCAAAAAUAAUGUCUUCAACAAUAUAUCAAAUCAAAUAAGUAUGAGCAAAUCAUAAAUGGUAAAGAAGUAUACCAUGAUAAUCUUGAAUCGUUACUUGCGGUAGAGGAAGUGGUGGUCCGAUCGGAAAUAGAGAGGACACAUGGAGGGAGGUUUUCCACAGACGAGGAGGUUCGUGUUGUGGUGGUACGGAUGGCCGAUGGUUGAGCGAAGGAGGUCGAAGGCGUGUGUUUAUUUUGCUUGCAGCAAUCAGAGGUGGUGGCUUCGAUGUGCGGGCCGCGAAGUGAAAUUUUGUGGUUAGAUACAUUUCGAUUCGUCUCCUUGUGUUUCCUGGUGAAGAUGUUUCUAUUGCUGAUGUGGAUUCGUUGUUGUUGGUGAUAGAAAUGGUGAUGAUUUGUUUGUUAGUAAUGAUUGUGUUUUUUCUUUUGGGGUAAGUUUUUGUGUGUGAUGGAUUUGUGUAGUGAGGAUGAUGAUGAUGGUGAAUCAUUUUGUACAUGUUCAAAAUUUGUUUUUUUUGUUGAGUUUUUAUUGAAUUUUCUGUUGUAAUAAAUUUGAAGAAUGAAUGGUAUAACUUUGUGGUUUAUGUGAGAUUUGCAGGGAGUUUAAUGUUAAUUGAUGUUUGAAGGAAAAAUGAUUUUUCCAGAUUUUAACUAAUAUAGAAGUAUGGAAAGUGAAUUGUUUUAUGUUUGUGAAGCAAAGGAAUAAGUUUAAAUUGUGAUGAUGAAAGGUUAUGAUAUUGUUAGAAGUUAAUGUUAAUGAUGAUGUAAUUUGGAAGUUUAAGCUUUGUUGGAUGUAGGUUGAGUUUACAGGUUGAUGUCAGUGAUGAAAUAAAGGUUGCACAAACUUAGAAAUCUAGGUUUUUGAUUUUGAAUCAAUAUGAAAAAAAAAACAAGUUGUUUGACUU